rnacentral:rRNA from 1 species
AGGUGAACCUGCGGAAGGAUCAUUAUCGAGAGAGGGGCCUCGGGCGCCCCGGGGGGCUUCGGCCCCCCACCCUUCACCCUUGUCCACCCACCUGUGUUGCUUUGACGGGCCCCCGAGGGUUCGCCCCGGCGCUGGCUUACGGGCCUGUGAGCGUCCGUCAGAGGCCCAUUUUAUUUCUUUCCGAUGAUGAGUGACGUCCGAGACAAACCACAAUCGCUGAAAACUUUCAACAACGGAUCUCUUGGUUCCAGCAUCGAUGAAGAACGCAGCGAAAUGCGAUAAAUAAUGUGAAUUGCAGAAUUCAGUGAAUCAUCGAGUCUUUGAACGCACAUUGCGCCCCUUGGUAUUCCGGGGGGCAUGCCUGUCCGAGCGUCAUUACACCCCUCAAGCGUUGCUUGGUGUUGGGCCUCGCCCCCCGGGCGUGCCCGAAAUACAGUGGCGGUCCGGUGUGACCCUGACGCGUAGUAAAAUUUUCAUUCCGCCUCAGCCGUUACCUCGCGACUUGCCGGACCAACCCCAGAACUUGAAAGCUGACCUCGGAUCAGGUAGGGAUACCCGCUGAACUUAAGCAUAUCAAUA